ACUAAACACACAUUCAACAGGUGUGCUUGACCAAAGCAUAACUGCAGCCGCAAUUGUCGCCAUUAACGCCCACUUCCAUACGGUUGCACACGCACAUACAUAUGUAUAUCAGAGAUAUACAUCGAUAAAGCGCUUAACACAUAUUUUGCCCCAUAAAUCAAUAACAACUUACUUACAUAAUCACAUGAGUUUUAUUCGCAACUUUUGCACUUUUCAAUUAUGCCAUCUGUUGAUCCACUCAUAUAAUUGUUGCUGUUGUUAUUGUAGUUAUUAUUACCUUUCCAUAUUUAUUUAUUUUAAUUUUUUUGCCUAUUUAUUUUUAUAGCAUAUAAUUAGAAAUUACAAUGCCUCAAUUUAUGUAAAUUGUCACCCCGACACAUAUGUAUGUAUGUAUAUAUGUGGAUAUGCCAGCUUGUGGCCAAAGUUCGUGGUAAACCUAUAAAAAGAGUAAUAAAAGCUCGCAGCUAGUUUGGUUAAAUUUUCUUAUGUGUUCUAACAUCAAAUUGUCCACAGUAAAUCUGGAAAAUUGCACCUGAGUGAAAGAGUGAAAUUGAGCAUUUGAAUCAUUUAUCUAGAAAGUGGCUAUCAUAUAUGAUUGAUUACUGGCUAAAGGUCAGUUAGUACGAACACGUGGAAAUAAGUGUCUAACUUUUUGUCGCUAUAAUCAAAAUUGGAAUUUUAAAUUGAAUCGAGUGUAACCACCUUUAAUUGGAUUACUUUAAACAUUGGAGCAAAUGAUUUGUUUCGAUAAGCAAACCUAAGCCUUGUUAAGAGCUUGGGAUUGUAAAAUAAUAAAAGAUCCUCUCAUGAUUUGUCAUACUUUUAAAUUUUAAAAGGAUCUCAGAAGACGCAAUACAAGGACGGGUUACUUUGGAUGAGAUAUGCAUGAUGCAUUCGACUCUUUUUCGAUCGCUUCUUCUAAAAUCGUUUCACCCCGGUAGCCAAUUACCAAACUCAGAGUGUAUUCGCAAAUGAAGAAACAUGUCAUGAAAUUGAUUAGUCGUAAAUAUAACUUCCACGAUUACGUUAUAUUAUUUCAGACAAUAAAUUUGGCGUCACUUCUGGUUUUUACAUAAUCGUCAACUGGAUUAGCACGGCUUUUAAUUACGAAAGCUUCUUAGCUAUGCUUAAAAUCAGUUAUUGCUGCAAUUGCAACUAACUUAUUUAAUAUUAAUUUAUUGAACAACCAAGUUGUUAUAAUAUAUUCUACAUCAUAUAUGAGAUGCUGGAGUGGACAAGUUCACUAAGAUGCUAAAAAGAACCCUGCAACGUUUCGCCUUAAGAACCAAUGAAUACUAAAAUGUUAAUAAAUCAACGGCUGCAACUGCAAUUGGUCGGUUACGUCAAAAAUGGCUGCAAUAAAUCUUUAAUCGACACUAAAAAGAUAAAUAAUAAUGAAGUAAAAGCGGAUAUGUGGCAGAUAAUGCAGCAGUACUCAUACUAAAUAAACCCUUAUGAGGUUGCUAACUAAAUCAAUUGGAAGUAUGGAAAGGAGUACCAAGUACUUGCUGUUCAAACACUGAAACGACAACCUGCUUUUGACAGUUAAGCAUUACAGUUACUUUAUUGAUUAUUUCACGAAUACCACAUAGUUUAACAUUUAAAAGCUUUAGAUAUUUAUUUGUAAAGAAUUACAAUAUAUACUUGGAUAUACAGAAAUAUUUUAGUUAUAUGAUUUUUAGUGUUUUAAAUACAACAAUGGUAGCACAACACACGUCAAAAUAUUUAAACUUCAUUAAAAUAUAUAAUAUAUUUAAACACAUAUAUUAGCCAUUAAUCGAUUAGUUCUUUAUAGUAUAAGUAAGACAUUCUUGCCAGCAUUUUAUAUAUGACUUUUAAUUACUUGUACUUGGCUACAAUUAAUUAUGUAAGCACCUUAUUUUGACAAACAUAUUUACACACAAUACAAUAUUUUGGAUUUAUAAUAUUUUAUAAGUAUUUUUAUUUUAAUUUAGUUUAUUGUUAAAGCUGAGCGCCGGUUGCAUUACUAGCGAAAUAUGUUAGAACAAAAUUUCUCUUAACAUAAUUAGUAAAAAUUCCCUAAAAAUGUUUCAAAUAUUGCUGUUUUAUGUAUUGUAACAUAUUUGUAUAUACCUUUAAUAUAAGUAUUAUUUUUACUUUUGUUAAGCCAUGCACAGCAAUGAUCCCUAAUUUUCGGACGUAAGUUUACUAUGUGCCUUUUAAUGACCUCAAAUUCGCAGAUAAAGAACAUUAUGGCGAGUGCAAAUGUAAGUGUAAAUGAAAAUUAUUAUAAUUAGUAAGUAUAUAUUUUUUUUUCAUAAAUUUUUCUGAAAAUUGCAAAGCAAAUAAAAGUCGUAACUUAAAUCGACUUUGGAGUUUAAAAAUUUUUAACGUUAAUACUGCUCAUUGCACAUGAAAGUAAUUUUAAUACAUUUAGAUUUAGUUUUACAAUCAAACAGCUGUCUUCGAAUCGAACAAACUAUGCCAGAUGCUCAAACAAACGGACGGCACUUGUAUUGUAACCCUGCGCCAACAUGUUUUUGACGCAGACCCAAUAGUAUUAUGAUGCUUUCUUAAAGCAAAAAUCCUUUCUUCGCGUCAAAAAAAUUUUCCUGUAACCCUUUAUUUUGGUUUUCUAAUAAUUACUAUAAUUUUAAAUCUUAUCUUUUUUUAAUAAUAAUACCCAACGAUUACUUUCCUCCUGCCCAACCGACGGUAGAGGCGCAAUCCUCUGGUUUCAUUUGAUUUAUAGUUCAUUUAACUCAAAAUUUGUUCUAGAAAAUUUGAAAUGUAAAGGUUUAAACUUCUUGGUUGAGCGAACGGGGAUGUUAUAACUAAUA